rnacentral:lncRNA from 1 species
GAAAAGUCAUAAGCCCUCGACCAUCCGUAACGAACUCUGAAACCAAACCAACGACCCGUUCCCUCUUCUGCAUCUCCGGUUGCACAGCCUCGGCCUGUGCCCCACGAAUGGCAUCCAAUACCGGAGCUAUCACGGUCAAUCUCAAACAUACAUCUCGCAGUGGAGUGCUCUCCGCCCUGCGGCUCAACGCAUCGGCUACCACAUUAGCCUUGCCUGGGUGGUACAGGAUCUCACAAUCAUAAUCCUUGACCACAUCCAACCACCUCCUCUGUCGCAUAUUUAGGUUGGGCUGAUCCAUCAAGUACUUCAAACUCUUAUGGUCCGUGUAUAUCGUACACCGAACCCCAUACAAGUAGUGACGCCAAAUCUUGAGGGCGAACACUACUGCCCCCAACUCUAGAUCAUGCGUGGGAUAUCUCGUCUCAUGAGGCUUCAGCUACCUCGAUGCAUAUGCUAUCACAUGACCCCUCUGCAUCAACACCGCACCCAGCCCCAAAAUCGAUGCAUCACAAUAUACUACAAAAUCCUCCAUCCCUUCCGGGAGAGCUAAUACCGCGGUUUCGCACAACCUUUGGCGAAGUGUCUGAAAGGAGGUUUGCUGCUCGAGACCCCAUGAGAAUGCAACACCUUUCCGGGUCAAUCUGGUGAGUGGCACUGCGAUCUUGGAGAAAUCCUUGAUAAAUCUCCGAUAAUACCCUGACAACCCAAGGAAACUCCUGAUCUCAGAUGGUGACUUCGGCACCUCCCAACUCAUCACCGCCUCAACCUUGGCCGGAUCGACCAGAAUCCCUUCCUGGUUAACAAGAUGUCCUAGGAACUGGACGUCCCGCAACCAGAAAUCACACUUGGAGAACUUUGCAUAAAGCUUCUCCGAUCUCAAAACCCCGAGGACCUCCCUCAAAUGCU